rnacentral:lncRNA from 10 species
GUCAGUGAUAAGUGGGGCUUUCCAGCCCCUUUUAUCCUGUUUACAAUACACUGGUUUUCCUUAGACAAAACCCUCCUUCCCUGCCUUGCUCCUGGCUGUUAUGGCUACAUGAGACAAUUUGCUGAUGGACUCUCUAGGGAGGACAACUUCCUUGGAGUCCCCUUCCCACCUCCUGCAGCACCCGGGGCAACAUCCCCUCUACUUGGUGGGUCCUGGAGGGGGCCACAGAUGCUUGUUUUUCUCAGCUCAUUGCAGCCUCUGAAUUCAGAAGUGCCACCCUGUCUGCUCAGCUUUAACCCAAGGGGGUGAGGAGAAAUCCAGAGGUGACAAGAUGAUGUUUCCCUGGCUUUGGGGUGGGAGUGACUGGGGUCAUUGUUGCUGUCCAGAGUGGAAGCCAUCAGAGGUGUCCUGUUUAUCUGUGUGACUCGGCCCUCUUUGGGUCACAAAGGCCAGAUGAUCCAGCAGCUACCUGGAGGGUGGUUUAUGACAGCAGCCUGGUCCUAGUUCCCUUCUGCCACCAACAAGCUUGGCCAGCUUAGGCAGAGGAAUUCAACCAGAGGCUCAGCUGGGCAAUUCUAUUUCAGAUGGAGUCUACAGAGGUCACACAGUAGGAUUCAGCUGACAGAUAGACACAGAGGGUACGAUAUGGCUUUGCCCACAUGUAUGAUGCCUUGGUGGGAAUGGCUGGAAGACUGGACUCAGCUGGGAAUGGUAACGGGAGCCCCUACACGUGGCCUUUCCAGCAUGGUGGCCUCAGGUUGCUGGGCUUCUUCCAUGAUGGCUGGGGCUCCCAGAGUAAGUGCUGCAAGAAGCUGAGUGGAAGCUGCAGGGCUUCUUAUAACCUGGCCUUGAAAAUCCCAGAAUUUCACUUCUUUCAUAUUCUGUUGGUCCAGGAAGUCAUUAAGACCAGCGCAGGUUUAGAGGGAAUAAAACUAGACUCCACCUCUCAAUGGUAGCAGUAGCAAAGAAUAUGAGAUCAUCUCUAUUUUAUUACACAAUUUGCCCUAAGACCUAGGCAAGCAGGGUCCCUAGCUCAGGCCCCAGGCCAGAUUCUCAGGGGACCCCACACUUUUGAGUGCUCUUCUUGAAAUAUUCUAAGUUCUCUUCAGUGGCUGGGAUCAUCCCAGUUGGUUUCUCUUCAGAGUACUCUGUGACCCACCUCUUGAUCUGUGUGGUUGGCCAAAUGCCCUGAGGCGGUUCAGGGCUCAUGCCUAUGGGGUUGUCCAGGGCAACCUGACAAGUAGAUUGCUUCUGCUGACCAGCACAGUAUUUAUUUUAUGGCAUUGAACAAUACUGGGCCACUAGAAUGGUACUGAUUGGCUAAUUUGGGGUGAUUCACAUUGGAUAUAUGAGUUCAGAACUCUGGGCUACUAACAGUUCACCACCAACCCUUGAGGUUGAGCCACCUGUGUGGGUCAAUGCCCUGGCUCUCACCACAUUUAUGACCACAGUGCCACCUCUGACAUGACACAAUAAUGAGAGUGGAUGCAUCCUUUAACCUGACUGCUGGGGUACCCCACCUCCAGCUGGUACAAGGUGUUCACCCCUCUCCAAGGCUUUGCAACACAUGUCAGGCAAUCCUCCAGAAGUGGCCACGCCUAUCUUCUCCAUUCAAGACCAUUAUGCUGUAAGGCCAACCAGCUUUUACAAUCAAUGUCCUCUCUUGCCUCUGAUCAAUAUAGUGAUCUCAUGAGAUACUGGGUUGGUUUUAAGCUGUUCCAGGUGAGGGCCAGAUGUUCCUUACAUGAAUGGAACUUCUCUUCUUGCUCCACCCAUGGGCCCUGAGCCUAUCCACUCCCUCCCCUGACAACUGAUUUCAGUGUGUGGAAGGCAGGGGUGCAGUCAACACUGAAAGAAAUCACCUUCUAGGAAUUCAGUGAUUAAGGCCUAAAGAACUCAAGAGAAGAUGUGGUUGGAUGAUAUAUUGUUGUAAACAUACAUAUAAAACUCUGAUCGGCGAAAUUUUAUUCACAUUUUUCUGCAUACUCUAAGCAAAACUUGCCAUUGGUGUCAUCACUAAAGAAGCACAGGAACAAACUUUGAGUUAUGAAGCCAGUAUUUGUACGUAGAGUGAAGAAUUGUGCAGCAUCAUGAGUAAUGAUGUAACCAGCAUUAAAUAAAUGGCAUUAUCAACACAACCAGCUGUCUUAGUCUAUUUUCUGCUGCCAUAAUAGAAUACCACACACUGGGUAAUGUUUAAAGAAAAGACGUUUAUUCAGCUCACAGUUCUGGAGGUUGGUAAGUCCAAGAGCAUGGCACCGUCAUCUGGUGAAGUUCAUCCCAUGAUGGAAAAGUGAAAGGCAGAAGUUAGUACAUGAAACAGACAGACAAUGGCAGCCAAACUUAUCCUUUUAUCAGGAGUCCACUCCUGUAGUAACAACAUCAAUCCAUUCAUGAAGGCUCUGUCCUUGUGACCCAAUUGCCUCCCAAAGGCCCCACCUUUCAGUACUGCCACAAUGGCAGCCAAGUUUCCAACAUAUGAAUUUGGGGGGGACACAUUCAAAGCAUAAAAUUCUCCCCCUGCCCCCCAGCCAAAUUUAUGUCCUUCUCACUUGCAAAAUGUAUUCAUUCCAUCCCAAUAGUCCCAAAAGUCUUAACUCAAUCCAGCAUCAACUCAAAAGCCUGAAGUCCAAAGUCUCAUCUAAAUCAGAUAUAGGUGAGACUCAAGGCAUGAUUCAUCCCAAGGCAAAUUCCUCCAGCUGUGAGCCUGUGAAAUCAAAACAAGUUAUCUUUUUCCAAACUACAAUGGUGGUACAGGCAUAGGAUAGACAUUCCCAUUCCAAAAGUGAGAACUAGGCAAGAAAAGAAGGGUAACUGGUCCCAAGUAAGUCCAAAACCCAACAGGGAAAACAACAUUAAGUCUUAAAGCUAGAGAAUAAUCUCUGAUUCAUGUCCCACUCCUGGACAUGCUGGGAGGCUGGUUCCCCAAAGCUUUGGGCAGUCCCACCUCUACAGCCUUUCUAGGCUCGGUCCAUGCAGCAGCUCUGAUGGAUUGAGUCUCCUGCCUACAGUUCCCAGGCUGGAGUUGCAUACUGGUAGGACUACAGUUUUGUGGUCUUGGAGAUGGCUCCAUUCCCGCUGCUUCACUAGGCACUGCCCUACUGCAGACUAUGUGGUGGCUCCAAUCCCACAUUUCCGCUUGGCGUUGCCCUAGUGGGGACUCUCUGCAGUACCAGCUUUAAAUAAAUAGCAUUAGGAACUGGAGGGGCAAAGAAAGCUACAUAGGCCAAUACAAACAGGUUCUGAAGAGUCAUGGUAUUUGAAUAACAAUGUUGUUCCCCUUUUCUCAUGUAGCCAGAAACUAGUGAGAAAUAGCACAUUUGACAAUAACAUAAAGAGAUAGUUCCUGGACCCAGACAGAAAGCGAUGGUGCCUGAACACUGUAAA